rnacentral:rRNA from 1 species
CCGUUGUACACACCGCCCGUCACACCAUGGGAGUGGGUUGCAAAGAAGUAGGUAGCUUAACCUUCGGGAGGGCGCUUACCACUUUGUGAUUCAUGACUGGGGUG